GACGGAGGGUGCAAGCGUUGUUCGGAUUGACUGGGCGUAAAGAGCUCGUAGGCGGCUUGUUGCGUCGGCUGUGAAAUCCCAUGGCUCAACUGUGGGCUUGCAGCCGAUACGGGCGGGCUAGAGUUCGGUAGGGGAGACUGGAAUUCCUGGUGUAGCGGUGAAAAUGCAUUGAGAUCGGAAAGAACACCAACGGCGAAAGCACUCUGCUGGGCCGACACUGACACUGAGAGACGAAAGCUAGGGGAGCAAAUGGG
rnacentral:rRNA from 1 species